rnacentral:rRNA from 1 species
AUUGAACGCUGGCGGAAUGCUUUACACAUGCAAGUCGAACGGCAGCACGGACUUCGGUCUGGUGGCGAGUGGCGAACGGGUGAGUAAUGUAUCGGAACGUGCCCAGUCGUGGGGGAUAACGUAGUGAAAAUUACGCUAAUACCGCAUACGAUCUAUGGAUGAAAGCGGGGGAUCGCAAGACCUCGCGCGAUUGGAGCGGCUGAUAUCAGAUUAGGUAGUUGGUGGGGUAAAGGGCAACCAAGCCCACGAUCUGUAGCUGGUCUGAGAGGACUACCAGCCACACUGGAACUGAGACACGGUCCAGACUCCUACGGGAGGCAGCAGUGGGGAAUUUUGGACAAUGGGCGAAAGCCUGAUCCAGCCAUUCCGCGUGCAGGAUGAAGGCCCUCGGGUUGUAAACUGCUUUUGUACAGAACGAAAAGGUUUCUACUAAUACUAGGAGCUCAUGACGGUACUGUAAGAAUAAGCACCGGCUAACUACGUGCCAGCCGCCGCCGUAA